GGGUCCAUAGCUCAACUGGCAGAGCAACUCCCUCUUAAGGAGUCGGUUGGAGGUUCGAGUCCUCCUGGACUCACAA
rnacentral:tRNA from 1 species